CGGGGCGUAGCGCAGUCUGGUAGCGCACCUGCUUCGGGAGUAGGGGGUCGCUGGUUCGAGUCCAGUCGCCCCGA
rnacentral:tRNA from 1 species